rnacentral:rRNA from 1 species
UACGUAGGGUGCAAGCGUUGUCCGGAAUUAUUGGGCGUAAAGAGCUCGUAGGCGGUCUGUCACGUCGGCUGUGAAAACUCGGGGCUCAACCCGAGCCUGCAGUCGAUACGGGCAGACUAGAGUCCGGCAGGGGAGACUGGAAUUCCUGGUGUAGCGGUGAAAUGCGCAGAUAUCAGGAGGAACACCAAUGGCGAAGGCAGAUCUCUGGGCCGUAACUGACGCUGAGGAGCGAAAGUGUGGGGAGCGAACAGG